CCUUUAAAUACGUCACGGUAAUAUUAUGUUAUAUUGAUAAUACGUCCGUCAAAUUAUUAUAUUUUAGAUUAUAUUGCUUACAAAUAAGUACUGGUUGAACCGUGGCGCCCAGAAACGACCAGAGAUUAUCGAUGAUAAUCGUUGUUGGAAUUAUUUAUCCAGUAUCAUCGAGGAAACCGCGAACAACUCAACUCUUUCAUUAGCACCGGAAAAAAUCGUAAAAUCAAUUUGAAAAAGUAAACGAAAAGAACUCCACUGGAAAGAUGGGGAAUAUUUAAUCACUGAAUAUGAUAUUUUCUAUACAGUAACAAUUUUGUGGUAACAAAGUGGUAACUAUUAAGGACCAAAACACCCAAUUGACGCUUUAUAUAAAUGUAUAAUUCGCUCAAUCGCGUUAUGUACAUGGAAAUGUGGGUGACAACAAAAACAGAUGGGCAAUGUUUUUGAUCGAAAAAUAAUUCUCAGACAGGUAUUUGAUCCCAAUAGAGACCGGUUUACGAACUAUAACGAAAAACCGUAUGCCCAAAGACGCCGCGAUACAUUUACAACAAUGAAAAUCAAGAGAAUAAGCUGGGGUUGAUCGGAUGUGUGGCGAGCACAAGAACAACUCUAAUCGGGGAAGUCACAAAAAAGGGUCACUAGAAAGCAAAAGUAACUCUAUAGGCCUUCAAAGGCAGCGGUGGGCAGAUAGUUAGUUCAGAAAUACAUGAAUAUGUACGUAACUACAGGGAGUGAACGAUG